rnacentral:rRNA from 1 species
UACAGAGGUGGCAAGCGUUGUUCGGAAUUACUUGGCGUAAAGGGCGCGUAGGCGGUCUUGUAAGUCUUGUGUGAAAUCCCUCGGCUUAACUGAGGAACUGCACGAGAUACUGCGAGACUUGAGUUCGGGAGAGGAAAGCGGAAUUCCGGGUGUAGCGGUGAAAUGCGUAGAUAUCCGGAGGAACACCGGUGGCGAAGGCGGCUUUCCGGACCGACACUGACGCUGAGGCGCGAAAGCUAGGGGAGCAAACGGG